rnacentral:lncRNA from 1 species
CUGUUUUUGCGCAGCGCCCUCAUUCUGCCAACCAAUCGCUGAAGAGCACCACCCACCGAGCCACCGCUAAUUGGCCAAACUGGCCGUCAAAUAGGCGCGUCAUCCGGCUGCCGGGCGGGGCUGGAUGGAACCCGCGCCCGGGCGGCAGAGCAGUUCCUGUGCAGUCUCCUUACGACACAAGAUAAGAAGGUCCCUUGCAGCUUCCUGGUAAUGAAUGACCCGAGAAUAACACCGCUACAACCUGCGGGAAAAGGAGAGUCGUUUGCCCGACCCAAGGUACGUUGCCAUUCCCUCCUGGCAGUGAACUACGGAGGGCGAGUGUCCAGAGGCGUGAUUGUAGAUAGAGGCAUGCCCCUGUGAGUCCCGCGAGUGCGUGUCUACUGCCCUACCCGCCCCCCACCCACCCCUUACUCUUUCAUGGAGAUGGGUCCUGCCUUUGAGUGGUUGGAAGGAAAGGAUGCCAGCAAAAAUGGCUAAUCCUUUUCCAGCUGCAGUAAAUUGACGACCGGCCAAAGCCAAGCGAAAACCGCCGCAGUUAAAAUGAUUUUAGCAUCACGUCUGCGGCUGAAAAUGGAGCGGCAGUUUAUAAAAGGACCUGUGGAUCAAUGAAAAGGAGAUUAUAGUGUAUCUGAAUAUUAAUACGGCAUCGCUUCUGUACUUUCUACCCCUCCCCCCUUCCUUUCUUUAGAUCUGCAGGAUUGAAAUGAAAUGUUUUGAGCUCUUCAAGCUGACUCAUCAGAAUCCUGAAGCGUUUUUUUAAAUGACGGUAAUUUUCUAAUGUUUUCAUUUGUACGUAUGGAAACACUUGUGUGUGUGCGCGCGUGUGCGCGAGUGUUUACGUGUGAGAGACAUGCGGCUGAAUGACAAUGCAGAUCCAGAAAUUGGGGAAGAGGGUUUGUGCUCUCAAAACGUAGAUGAAGUUUGAGCCGACUUGGGGGCAUUUGCUGAGAGCCAGAGGUGGAGAUGAGAACGUGGAGAGAUGGCCAGAUUUGCCUGUAAAUAAUCACUACAUCUACUGUAACGCUUGAGCUGCAUUUUUUUUUUUUCUUCUGGUAGCAGUUGUUUGAAAGGGGAACUCUCUGCAAACGUGGGUUACAGGCGUCUCC